rnacentral:misc_RNA from 1 species
AAGUCGUAACAAGGUUUUCGUAGGUGAACCUGCGGAAGGAUCAUUAAUGAACUUUGGCCUUAACUUUAGCUUUGCAAAGGCGAGUUGGCUAUCUUCAUAUUCACACACACUUGUGCACUUUCGACGGUCCGCAAGGAUUGUCGGAAACUCUUGUGAUGUUAAUAAACGUCUAGGAUGUUCAUAUCCAAUUGAAAAAUGUAAUGAA